UGUGAAAAUGCAUCUUUCUCAUUCAAUAUACAACAGGAUGCAUCCUUAAACAAAACAGCAGUUUAAGUGCUUGGCUGGGAAAACAAGGAAAUUUCAGAGCACACUGGGCCUGAGUUUUCAGUAAUUAGAAAACAGGUGUUUUCACUUUAAAGAACUCAGCCUAAGAUUACAUAAAUGUAGCAACAUGGAGUUUGCCUUUCUGUUUUUUCAGGAGGUAUUUUCAUCAGGUGCUCAUUGCUGCUGGUUGAGGGUAGCAGUAACAUGUGGCUCUUUGUCUGCAGGGAAAGCAGCCUGGUGGAGCGAGGGCAGCUCAGAAAACAGCAAUUAGUACGUGGAGCUGUUGUUUCAUUGUUCAUGUUGUCAUGUGGAGGCAAGGCAGCCUGAAGGUGAGGUGUGAGGCUGUCACUUUGCAGCACAGUGGUGGUUGUCUUGAUGGUAGGUUGCUUUCCAGUUUGGCAAGAUGAGAUGCCACUGGUUGAGGCACUCAGCAAUAGUUUUGUGUUAGGCUGGUGAUCGUCUUUGCCUGGAUUCUACAAUUGUAGCCUCCAACUCUGUUGCUAAUUACUGGCAGCUUUGGGGUGCUUGUUCAGUCUGUCUGUCCUCACAACUGAGUAUGUUUCUACUCGAGUUGUAGCAGUGUUUUGCCUGAAACAAGGAGCGAAGCCAUUUUGUAGUUGCAUACAGAUUAAAUUGAUGUUUAUGCCCUGCGGGAUUUAAAUUUCCUAGAGAAAUCAAUACUAAAAUGUUGUGCUGGCUUUAUGCUUGUCUCUUGCUGUUUGCUGCUAAGAGUGCUGGUGGUGUUUCGGCAGCAUGAAGGUGAUGCUGUUGUUAGAGCUUUUUUGCUCCAGAAAGUGAGUGAAAACGGUUGGAAAAAUAAGAGGAGGAUAAAGUUUAAAACAGUGGUAAGUUGUGGUAAUGCUUGGAUUGGAACAUGCAGAAAAACUGUGAAAUAUGUGGGACAAACAGAACACAAAAUACCUAUGCCACUGCAUCUUUAGCCUGGAUGUUGUGAGGGAGAAGUGUUGUCUUGAAGUACUUUCGUAUUCAUCAAAGGCAGGAUCUUCCUCCCAGAUAAGUCAGUGAUUCUGCUGUAGAGGAUAUUUGUAUUUUCUGAUGAAACUUCAGACUGAUAAGAGUGCCAGUGUGAGAUGGGCAUGACCUUGCCAAGAAUAGCAGCCCCUUUUAUUUCCUACAGAUCAUCAGACUUGCAUCACGUAGCAGAGCCUUUUAGGCACGAUCAAGCAAGGCUUGGUUUUAAGUCAGUGGUCUGGAGUGGAAGGUUGGUUAACUCAUUACCAAUUCCCUGACCAAGUAUUUUGCAAGAGGGCCUUUUUAUUAUUACUUGGCUCAGGAGAGUACAGUAUUAGUAUAACUGAUUUUUAAAAGGAGUGGAUGAAAUGUCUCUGAAGGAAAUGACCUAAUGUGCUAUAAGGAAGCUGCUUACGUGCUCUCGGCUUUUUCAUGCGGUGGCUAUUGUCUUGCUUUUAUUUUGUUUUAUUGUUGUUAUACAUACACAGGAAACACAGUGAAGAUAGGAAAAUCUCAAGAGUUAAUAAAAAGGUUGGAAGGGGUGCUAUCUGUCUUUCUUUCUUGACACAAUGAUAAAACGUUGUCAUUGUUUGAACAAUCACUUUUAACGUUUGGUCAGCAAAAGACCAACUAUUUAAAUGGUUCAAUUCCUGUGCCCUAUGUUAGGAGAGACUGUUUAUAAUUGUAGAUGUGCUAUUCAAGCAGUGCUCAGAAAAACAGGCUGUCAGUUGCCUGAUUUUGUUAGAGCUUAUGGAUCUCUGGAAGCCAGGGAUUUAGUGAUCAGUUGGGUUAUCUGAUAAAUCUCCUUCUAUUGCUUCUUUUUGAGACUGAUGUAUAGUUUGAAAUCUCUUUAUAUUAGCAAAGGAACGACAUGAUUGCAGUCUCUCAACAGUUCUAUGUUCUUCCUACCUGGAAAAUCUAAAGAAUAGUAACACUAAGUGAAAGGAACAGCAGCAUAGGAAUUGAACUGAGCUGAAUGCUCCAUCUGGAAAGCUUCACUGGAAGCUGUUUUGCAUGCAGAGAUGUAAUUCUUUCGUCUUACGAGGCACCGAAAUCACCGAAGGUAGCAAAACUAAACAGUGCAUGCUCAUGUAGUAUCAAAUGACAGCAGUAUUUUGGACAGCAAAGGAACUGAGCUGAACAUUAGAUUUUGUUAGCCUAAAUUUGGUAGCCAAAGUUUUGGUGUACUUAUCUAAAUACACUGUCAUUGACAGUACCUUUCUUCAGGGGCUUCUUGUGUUCUGUAUUUAGCAGACUUUUGUUACAGCUCAGAUAUGGGGUUUAUUGGUAGAAGGUUUAGGAUCAUAUUUUGCUCACACUAGGCCCUGUACUCAUUUUACUUCAUGCAAAAUGGACAGCAUGUGUUUGAUUGACUAAAAACACAAGCCAAAGUUAGUGUGCUGAGGCCUAGACCUUUGAUCAGUGGACAGGGAGAAAGUGUGGCUUUCUCAGUAUACAGUUUGGUUUCUAGGCAGGUUGAGAGGGUGGUGUUUCCCUCUCCGUGAAACCUAUAGCUCUUGGAC